GACAGAGGAUGCAAGCGUUAUCCGGAAUGAUUGGGCGUAAAGGGUGCGUAGGCGGUUCGUUAAGUCUGUCGUGAAAUCCCCGGGCUCAACCUGGGAAUGGCGAUGGAUACUGGCGAGCUAGAGUGUGUCAGAGGAUGGUGGAAUUCCCGGUGUAGCGGUGAAAUGCGUAGAGAUCGGGAGGAACAUCAGUGGCGAAGGCGGCCAUCUGGGACAACACUGACGCUGAAGCACGAAAGCGUGGGGAGCAAACAGG
rnacentral:rRNA from 1 species